GAUAGCGUCCAUACCACACUGAAAACACCGGUUCUCGUCCGAUCACCGCAGUUAAGCAGUGUCGGGCCCAGUUAGUACUUGGAUGGGUGACCGCCUGGGAAUACUGGGUGUCGCUACCUU
rnacentral:rRNA from 1 species